GGCGGACGGCCAGGCUCUCGUAGAGGUGGCAGUAGUGAUGGUGCAGGUUGCAGGUGUACAGCCCCGCGUCCGUCUCCUCCACCGCUGCGCACCCAGGAGGAAGCCGCGCGGGUCCACACCAUGCGCGGGCUCUGGCAGCGCAGCACCGCCCGGGCGCCCGCCUCCCAGCUCACCGCGGACUCGGACACCACGGAGCUGCCAGCAGCGGCGGGCCCGCGUUGCUGCUUGAGGGACUCUCAUUGUCGUAGGCCGCCUCGGCAUCCACUCUGAAUCUAGGCUGGACUUUCUCUGACCGGAAGCGGGGCUGCCACCCGGGACAGUUUCCAAUUCACAUCCCCCGUCCUCGAGCUGAUCCACCCAGACGCCCGCCCUACGCACUGUCCCCUGGUGACCACCCCCUGUGUCCCCACAGACCCCACGCCCCACAUGGACUGUGCAGCUGCACCACGGAGUCCCCCCACAGUCAGCGUGGCCCCACGGGGCUCGUGCCGCUUGCCUUAAACCCACCAGUUAAAACUCCCCCACCAGGCAUGGUGGCUCACGCCUGUAAUCCCAGCACUUUGGGAGGCCAAGGCAGGUGGAUCACCUGAGGUCAGGAAUUCAAGACCAGCCUGGCCAAUAUGAAAAACCCCAUCUGUACUAAAAAUACAAAAAAUUAGCCGGACGGGGUGGUAGUGGGCGCCUAUAGUCCCAGCUACUUGGGAGGCCGAGGCAAGAAAAUGACUUGAACCCGGGAGGUGGAGGUUGCAGUGAGCCGAGAUCACGCCACUGCACUGCAGCCUCCUUGGCGAGAGAGAAACUGCCUCCAAAAAAAUUCCCUGAGGGAAACCUGUAUGCAGAACGCCCUGAUCCCAAUAAAGGGUUGGCCUGGGGGUCCCUGUCUCUCUCCACUUUCCCUGGCCUCCCAGCAGUCUGUGCACCCCAGGGCCCGUGGGUGAUAAAAGCUGUUUCUAUCCUGUGUCUCUAGAUCACUGGGGGCUGCUCUCCCUCACAUAGAUCCUAUGUGAAAACUGCCCCAGAGAUGUGGCCGAGAGCCUGGGAGCUUCCCAGAGGAAUGUGCCCGGUCAGCAGCCAGCC
rnacentral:lncRNA from 10 species